rnacentral:rRNA from 1 species
UACGUAGGGACCAAGCGUUGUUCGGAUUUACUGGGCGUAAAGGGCGCGUAGGCGGCCCAACAAGUCACUUGUGAAAUCUCUGGGCUUAACCCAGAACGGCCAAGUGAAACUGUCGGGCUAGAGUGUAGAAGGGGCAAUCGGAAUUCUUGGUGUAGCGGUGAAAUGCGUAGAUAUCAAGAGGAACACCUGAGGUGAAGACGGGUUGCUGGUCUAACACUGACGCUGAGGCGCGAAAGCCAGGGGAGCAAACGGG